ACGAUGCCAAGCCUUCCAUUUUCAAUCUCCACAAGCAGUAGUACAAAAGGGACUUAGGUGUAAAGGGAUGUGUGUAAGUGGUAACUACCAGUUUCAUUGGUUAUCUCCAUUUUCAUGAGUAAAACUCAGCUCGAGCUCAUCGUGUGAGGAAGGAGAAGCAACAGCAAUGGGUGUUGACACGUAUUUGAGUUAAAUUCUGAAAAUCACAAUGUUUGAUGGGUGAAUGUUGUGUUUAAUUGAUUUGUGUUAAUUUUGUUGAUAUUUGAAUUGAAGUUCUGGAAUUUACUAAAAGAUAUGAAGGAUUUUGCUGAUUUUGUUGACAUGUAUUUGAAUUGAAUUAUGGAAUUUAUUCUGAAAUUCUGAUUUGUUGUUGAUGGGUUGAGAAAGGAAAAAUUAGAGAGACAAAGUAGAGAGCGUGAGGUUGAUUGUGGCAGAUUGAGAGAUAUGGAGAUGGUGGGAAUGGAUAGGUGAGGAGUGAAAUGGGGAAGAAAGAAUGUGUAAUAGAGAGAAAGGGGAUCGAGUGGGGAAGAGCCACCAAGCCAAACAUUGAAAAAGUUAUUGCCAAGCCCAAAAUAUGAUUGGAAGCAUGACUAACACUUUGUUUGGAUUGGAGGAAGGAAAACAAUGAGAGAGGAAAGAAAAUAAAGAGGGGGAAAUAACCAGAUAAUCCUCAUUAUCGUUUUGUUUGGAUGUAAGGAAAAUAAAAGUGAAUGAAAUGAAAAUAAAAACAUGUUCCUUGUUUGGAAGGACAGGAAAAUAAAGAGGGGAAUGGAAAAUGCUUUAUAAAUUUACAAUUUUACCCUCUAUAUUUUUAAAAAAGAGUUUUAGUAAUUGUGAUAAAUAUUUAACAUAUUUCUUAUAACAAUGAAUUAAAAAAUUGUAAUAACCAAUAGUAAUCAUGCAAAUGGGAAGAGGAACUUUUUCAUUCAAUGAUUUUACAAGAAUAAAUUUAUUUAUAUUUGGAUGAAGAGUUUUUGAAUCAUACUUGGUAGCUGUGUAAGAACGGGAGAUGAAAAAAAAAAUCUAUUCACAAGUUUCAAGAAAGAAAAUAUGGUCAAAAAUGUAAUUUGAGUAUAUACAAUAACUUUCUUUUCUAUUUUUGCUCAUUUUCUCUCUGAUUCGAAGAGAUUGAACCAGGGGGAUUAUAACUUAUAUUUUGCUUCCUCUUGUUAUUUUACUCCCUGCAUCCAAAGAGAAUAAAGUAGCUUUCCUCUGCUAUUUUCCUCCCCCAUUUUGAUUCCUCCCUUAAUUUUCCUCAAUCCAAACAAGUUAUAAAAGUGCCAUGAAGAGGAUCAAUUUCUUUGAACAUUGAAUCUAGAGAGAGAUAGAAAG
rnacentral:misc_RNA from 1 species